ACGGAGGGUGCAAGCGUUAUCCGGAUUCACUGGGUUUAAAGGGUGCGUAGGCGGAAUUGUAAGUCCGUGGUGAAAUCUCCGAGCUUAACUCGGAAACUGCCGUGGAUACUAUAGUUCUUGAAUGUUGUGGAGGUUUGCGGAAUAUGUCAUGUAGCGGUGAAAUGCUUAGAUAUGACAUAGAACACCGAUUGCGAAGGCAGCAGGCUACACAAAUAUUGACGCUGAGGCACGAAAGCGUGGGGAUCAAACAGGA
rnacentral:rRNA from 1 species